rnacentral:rRNA from 1 species
GAUGAACGCUGGCGGCGUGCCUAAUACAUGCAAGUCGAGCGAACAGACGAGGAGCUUGCUCCUCUGACGUUAGCGGCGGACGGGUGAGUAACACGUGGAUAACCUACCUAUAAGACUGGGAUAACUUCGGGAAACCGGAGCUAAUACCGGAUAAUAUAUUGAACCGCAUGGUUCAAUAGUGAAAGACGGUUUUGCUGUCACUUAUAGAUGGAUCCGCGCCGCAUUAGCUAGUUGGUAAGGUAACGGCUUACCAAGGCAACGAUGCGUAGCCGACCUGAGAGCGUGAUCGGCCACACUGGAACUGAGACACGGUACAGACUCCUACGGGAGGCAGCAGUAGGGACUCUUCCGCAAUGGGCGAAAGCCUGACGGAGCAACGCCGCGUGAGUGAUGAAGGUCUUCGGAUCGUAAAACUCUGUUAUUAGGGAAGAACAAAUGUGUAAGUAACUAUGCACGUCUUGACGGUACCUAAUCAGAAAGCCACGGCUAACUACGUG